UACGUAGGGGGCAAGCGUUGUCCGGAAUCAUUGGGCGUAAAGAGCGUGUAGGCGGCCCGAUAAGUCCGCUGUGAAAGUCCAGGGCUCAACCCUGGGAUGCCGGUGGAUACUGUCGGGCUCGAGUCCGGAAGAGGCGAGUGGAAUUCCUGGUGUAGCGGUGAAAUGCGCAGAGUAUCAGGAGGAACACCGAUGGCGAAGGCAGCUCGCUGGGACGGUACUGACGCUGAGGCGCGAAAGCGUGGGGAGCAAACAGG
rnacentral:rRNA from 1 species